UACGAAGGGGGCUAGCGUUGUUCGGAUUUACUGGGCGUAAAGCGCACGUAGGCGGAUCUUCAAGUCAGAGGUGAAAUCCCAAGGCUCAACCUUGGAACUGCCUUUGAUACUGGGGAUCUUGAGUCCGGGAGAGGUGAGUGGAACUGCGAGUGUAGAGGUGAAAUUCGUAGAUAUUCGCAAGAACACCAGUGGCGAAGGCGGCUCACUGGCCCGGUACUGACGCUGAGGUGCGAAAGCGUGGGGAGCAAACAGG
rnacentral:rRNA from 1 species